GUGGGUUUAGAAAGUGGACAGGAGUUGUACUUGGGAAAACAGCCCACGAGAAAUAGCGCGAGGGAGCCACUGCCUCCUUUGGGAAUGUAAGCGUCCACCGCCGGGGUUUCCACCCGGGACAGCGAAGGGGCUGGGCAGAGUAGGGGCUAUGGGGUCCGAGUGGGAAGAGGGGAGGGCAGAGGGCUUGAUCCCUGCGGUGACGCGGGGCAGCCAGGCAUUAGCUCCAGGGGCUUCGACAGCCCCCGCCCCCCCCGGGAGGGGGCGUGGCGUGGCCCGAAGGAGUGGGGCGAGGCCUGCGACUCGGGGGCGUGGUCCCGGGGUGCGGCCUCGUGAGGGCGUGUCCUCCGGGACGGACGGGGCGUGUCCUCCGCGGCGGGGGCUGACCUAUGGGGCUGGCGGGGAGUGUCCUCUGCGGCUGGGCGUGGUCCCUGGGGCUGACGGGGCGUAUCCUCCGAGGCGGGGCGUGUCCUCCGUGGCGGGGCGUGGCGGGCGUCCCGGGGCGUCCGGCGCUGAGCCCGGCGGCGCGGUCUUGCGCACUCCGUCCGUUGCGCUCCCGUACGGAUCCGCUGUCGCCGCCGCCUCUCGGAGCCACCGGAGGACGGAGCUGCCGGAAAGGGCCGGUGCCAGGGCGCGCGGCCGGCCGACGCGCAGCUGAAGAUGAGCACACCCUCCACUCCCCACUGACUGGCUGCCAUGGCGUUCACAGGAAGACUCAACAGCAGCGGCAGCAGCGGUGGCGGCAGCUUCCAGGGGUUCCUGUCAGCUAUAGUUCAAUUUGGCUCCCUUUGAAGGCCUGUCAAGCCCUUCAGUCCUAGGCUCAGCCUAUUUUCAAGACUUCAUCACCUGCCUGGCUACACAGACACAGCAGGCCUCACAGUCCUACAUCCCAGCACCACAACAGAUACCUUCUUUCCCACACCAGCUUCAUCUGGCUGUUCCUUCACCUGGAAGCAUGUCCGGG
rnacentral:lncRNA from 1 species